rnacentral:pre_miRNA from 1 species
GACACUGCUCAUGAAUUAUAUAAUACCCAAGACCUCACACCUCUUUUCAAACACGUCUAACAUAUUGCGCUACAAUUUAACACCUCAGAUUUCUAGCUUGGAACCAUACACUUUCUUUUUAACACCUCACACAAACAUUUUUCUUAAGGUAAGCAUCAGUCGAGUUAUUGUAUAAUUCACAAUUCAUAAC